rnacentral:lncRNA from 1 species
ACUGUUUACUGCCUCCUUAAGAGCAAAUCUUGAAAAUUUGUGUGUGGUUACAGACUUUUGUGUGAGGUUUUGAAAGUUAGGUAGGCGACUCUAAGCCGAGAAGCUCAGAAAACUGUUUACUGCCUCCUUAAUGAUGAAAUAACUGAAAAUAUGCAGGUCUGGCUCAUUUUUGUGAUAUAUCUAUUUUAUACUCUAGUGCAUAUCUUUAUUAUAAGAGUCAUGUCCCUUGUCUGGAUGAAGUUAACAGCAUUUUACUUUUGUUUCCAGUUUCUCAUUAAAGUUGCACCAAAAAGGCGACCAGUUAACAUAAAUGAGAAAAGCUAUACCAUUAACAACAGAAGUGAAAUAGAACGGGACAAUCUUUUACAUGAGACUCAUGACUUGGACGUCAUUAGUUCCUCUAAUGAACCUAACAGAUCAGUAAAUAGACCUAAUGGAUUAGUAAACCAACCCAACGGUGUAACAAAUGAAGACAAAUUACUGACAUUGUGAAUAUAAAAUCAGCUUUAUCCAAUAUUAUAUAUGAACUAAAACAGAUUCAUUCGUUGACUUAUACUAUUUUGGCGGGGAAAGAAAAGCCAGACUGGUUAACUUUUGCAUCUUUCCUGGACAAAGUGUUCUUUUUUGGUGUUUUUCAUUGUGGAAAUAAUUGUUCUGUACCCGAGUCUGUAACAGUAAGAUUAUUGUCAUUAUUUUUAUCAUCAUAUAUUCAUGAGAUUCAUGUUAAACAUCUAUUGUUACACUGUACUUAUUUUUCAAACAUGUUGAUUUAAUGUUUUCUCUUGAUGUAAUUUGCUGUUUAUAUUCAGUUUUUUUUUGCAUUUAUCAAUUAUCAUCGUCCAAUGGACCAUUUACAAGAAAUAUGUUUAAUGAACGAUUUUUGUUGCAAGCAAAAACGCUCCUUAACAAUAAAAUUGCUAACCUAGAAGUCGGAGUAGCUGAAAAGCAAAUUUGUUUUGUUACAGUAAAGGACAUGGAGAUAUUUUGAAAUUUUCAUUUUAGUCCUUUUAAAUGUUUGCAUUUUGGUAGUAGCAUUUGUACUUAAGUUGAAGAAUACUUACGCUUUUAUCAACUGUUUAAUUUUUAGGUUAUUGAACAUACUUUUCACAAACUACAAUUAUAUUUUUCUCCAGGGGACAUUCCCUUUCAUGCUUUUGAACUAAGAAAUGACAUCAUUUAACUUGCCGUAAUGCAUUUAAAUACGUAUAGUGUAUAAUUUGCCGUAUAUUUCCCCAUAGUGUACCAUCUGCCUUGAUUUAAUGUUUAGAACAUUUAUUGUAUUUAUGUUUGACAUACAAAGAUUUUAUCUUGUUAGAAUAUUAUAUAUUUAAAGAUUAUGUUGUAUAACAAGAUACAUUGUAAGAAUAAAAAGAUUUUUCUAUGCUAAGUAUUUAUGUUACUUUUAUUAAAUGUUUCAAUUGUUUCAUGUUGUUAUACAGCCUAUGAUGAAGAUUUAGUGAAAUUCCAACCACAGCAGUUGCUGCCGCCCAUAUAAGUGAUAUCUUAAGAAGACCGUAUGUACUUGUAUAUACGGAUGGAGGAUAGUGCAAGAUAUAGUGGAUACUCAAAUUACUGAAGUUCCCCUUGUUGUUUCGCAUGCCAGGUGAAAAGCUCAUAUACAAGCGAUUCUUAUCCGAAUGCUAUUAUUUUAGCUUGAAGACCGGGGAUCCAAUCUGACGGACUCUGGUUUCUCGGUCAGGCAACAUUACCAGCUUGGCCACUGCGUCCGCUCUCGCUAAAAUCAAACAACAUUCUGGCAGCGAGUGCCCUUCAGGAUCACACUGGACUUUUUGAUAGCGUGUUGUCAAUGACCCUUAAUAUGUUUACACUGUUCUUAUCAGUGGAGUUUUAUAUAUAUAUAUGACCUUCUGCUGUGAAAGUAUGUUAUUUUAAAGUAUACGGGCAGGGAGUCAACUUUAUAAUAUGAAUACAAGCGGAUGCGGAGUGGCUAUCGUGUUAGCAGCCAUUGUUAUGGCAACAACCGGACUUAUAUGUCAGUUUCCACAUUGUGGGAUGGUAAAGUGUAAUUUCGUAGAUCCAGAAAAUUGCACCGGAACAGUAAGGAUGGGUGGCGGCUACUGCGGCUGUUGCAAGGCAUGUUUUACGGAAGUCGGUGCUGGCGAAACAUGUGAAAGUAAAGACUCUGUCGAUGCAUUAUUUUACCCGCCAACUGUUUUAUGCGAGAAUGGGUUCUACUGCGAGCACAAUACUUCAACAUGUGAACCCCUUCCUGGUUUCAGUCUUGGAUAGACACAUUUUGUUGUUCAAAACUAUUUACAUCGCAAUACGCAAGACCUAAUUGUUUUGUCCCCUACUUUUCACAGACUACAGUUAUUUUUUUUUCUCCUGGGGACAUUCUCUUUCAUGCUUUUGAAUUAAGAAAUGACAUCAUUUAACUCGCCGUGAUUCAUUUUAUCUUGUUAAAAUAUUAUAUAUUUAAAAGUUUUCUUGUAUAACAAGAUACAUUGUAAGAAUACAAAAAUUUUUCUAUGCUAAGUAUUUAUGUCACUUUUGAACAAUGUUUCAAUAGUUUAGUGUUGUUGUACAGUCUAUGAUGAAGAUUUAGUGAAAUUCCUCACAGCAGUUGCAGUCGCCCAUAUAAGUGACAUCUUAAGAAGACUGUAAGUAACUGUAUACGGAUAGAGGAUAGUGCAAGAUACAGUGGAUACUCAAAUUACUGAAGUUACCCUUGUCGCAUGCCAGAUGAUAACCUCCCAUACAAGCGAUUCUUAUCCGAAUGCUAUUAUUUUUAGCUUGAAGGCCUGGGAUCUAAUCUCAUGAAUCUGAUUUCGCCAUCUGGCAACAUUACCACUUGACCACUGCGUCCGCUCUCGCUAAAAUCAAACAACAUUCUGACAGCGAGUGCCCUUCAGGAAGUGUGGUCAAUGACCCUUAAUCUCAUCAGUGGAACUUUGAUAAUUUAAUAUAUGACCUUUUUGCUGUGAAAGUAUGUUAUUUAAAGUAUACAGGCAGGGGGUCAAUUUUAUAAUAUGAAUACAAGCGGAUGCGGAGUGGCUAUCGUGUUAGCAGCCGUUGUUAUGGCAACAACCAGACUUAUAUGUCAGUUUCCACAUUGUGGAAUGGUAAAGUGUAAUUUCGUAGAUCCGGAAAAUUGCACUGAAGUUCCCCUUGUUGUUUCGCAUGCUAGGUGAAAAGCUCCCAUACAAGCGAUUUUUAUCCAAAUGAUUUUUUUAGCUUGAAGACCGGGGGCUCAAUCUCAGGACUCUGGUUUCUCGGUCUGGCAACAUUACCACUUGGCCACUGCGUCCUCUCUCGCUAAAAUCAAACAACAUUCUGACAGCGAGUGCCCUUCAGGAUGACACUGAACUUUUUGAUAGACAGCGUGUUGUCAUUGACCUUAAACCUGUUUACACUGUUCUUAUCAGUAGAAUUUUGAUAAUUAAAUAUAUGACUUUUUGCUGUGAACGUAUGUUGUUUUAAAGUAUACAGACAGGGUGUCAGCUUUAUAAUAUGAAUGUAAACGGAAGCGGAGUGGUUAUUGUGUUAGCAACCGUUGUUAUGGUAACAACCGGACUUAUAUGCCAGUUUCCACCUUGUUUGUUGGUAAAGUGUAAUUUUGUAGAUCCGGAAAAUUGCAACGGAACAAUCAGGAUGGGUGGCGGCUACUGCGGCUGUUGCAAAGCAUGUUUUACGGAAGUUGGUGCUGGCGAAUCAUGUCACAGUGAAACUAAAGACUCAUUAUUUUACCCACCAACUGUUUUAUGCAAGACUGGGCUCUAUUGCGAAUACAACACUUCAACAUGUGAACCCAUUCCUGGUUUCAGUCUCGGAUAGACAAUUUUGUUGUUCAAAACUGUUUACACUGCAAUACAAAAAAGACCUCAUUGAAACUACU